rnacentral:rRNA from 1 species
GACGAACGCUGGCGGCGUGCUUAACACAUGCAAGUCGAACGGAAAGGCCCUGCUUUUGUGGGGUGCUCGAGUGGCGAACGGGUGAGUAACACGUGAGUAACCUGCCCUUGACUUUGGGAUAACUUCAGGAAACUGGGGUUAAUACCGGAUAGGAGCUCCUGCUGCAUGGUGGGGGUUGGAAAGUUUCGGCGGUUGGGGAUGGACUCGCGGCUUAUCAGCUUGUUGGUGGGGUAGUGGCUUACCAAGGCUUUGACGGGUAGCCGGCCUGAGAGGGUGACCGGCCACAUUGGGACUGAGAUACGGCCCAGACUCCUACGGGAGGCAGCAGUGGGGAAUAUUGCACAAUGGGCGGAAGCCUGAUGCAGCAACGCCGCGUGCGGGAUGACGGCCUUCGGGUUGUAAACCGCUUUCGCCUGUGACGAAGCGCGAGUGACGGUAAUGGGUAAAGAAGCACCGGCUAACUACGUG